rnacentral:rRNA from 1 species
GCUUGUCUCAAAGAUUAAGCCAUGCAUGUCUCAGUAUAAGUUCCUGUACGGCGAAACUGCGAAUGGCUCAUUAAAACAGUUACAGUUUAAUUGAUGGUCGUUCCUUACAUGGAUAACUGUGGUAAUUCUAGAGCUAAUACAUGCGAAAAGUCCUGACUUCUUCGUGAGGGAGGGAUGUAUUUAUUAGAUACAAUCAAACGCACCAACAUAAAACCUUGGUGAUUCAUAAUAACUGUUCGGAUCGUAUGGCUUUUUGCCGACGACAGAUCAUUCAAAUUUCUGCCCUAUCAGCUUUCGACGGUACUGUAGUGGACUACCGUGGCAUUAACGGGUGACGGAGAAUUAGGGUUCGAUUCCGGAGAGGGAGCCUGAGAAAUGGCUACCACAUCCAAGGAAGGCAGCAGG